UAAACNACUCUCGGCAACGGAUAUCUCGGCUCUCGCAUCGAUGAAGAACGUAGCGAAAUGCGAUACUUGGUGUGAAUUGCAGAAUCCCGUGAACCAUCGAGUCUUUGAACGCAAGUUGCGCCCGAAGCCUUCUGGCCGAGGNCRCGCCUGCCUGGGCGUCACGCA
rnacentral:rRNA from 1 species